GCAGUUGUGGUUUAGUGGUAGAAUUCUUACCUUCCAUGUGGGAGACCCGGGUUGGAUUCCCGGCAAAUGCA
rnacentral:tRNA from 1 species